UGCUAGCUGUGUAGCAAUACAUGGCUAGCGGAAGUGGCGAAAGGGGCAGUAAUGCAUGGGUAACCUACCUUGGGGAUGGGGAUAGCCGUUCUAACGGACGGGUAAUACCCAGAGAUUCAGCGGGAGGGCAUCCUUCUGCUGGGAAAUGAAUUUCGCCUCGAGAGGGGCCCAUGUGCUAUUAGCUAGUUGGCGGGGUAACGGCCCACCAAGGCUAAGAUGGCUAGCGGGUGUGAGAGCACGACCCGCGCCACUGGCACUGAGACACUGGCCAGACACCUACGGGUGGCUGCAGUCGAGGAUCUUCGUCAAUGGGCGCAAGCCUGAACGAGCGACGCCGCGUGCGCGAUGAAGGCCUUCGGGUUGUAAAGCGCGAAAGUGGAGAGAAAGGGAAACUUGAUCAAUCCACAGUAAGGACGGGCUAAGUUCGUGCCAGCAGCCGCGGUAAGACGAACUGUCCUAACGUUGUUCGGAAUCACUGGGCUUAAAGGGCGCGUAGGCGGUCCGACAAGUCGGGGGUGAAAUCCUGCAGCUCAACUGCAGAAGUGCCUUCGAUACUGUUGGUCUGGAGGGAGAUAGGGGUGUGCGGAACUUCCAGUGGAGCGGUGAAAUGCGUUGAUAUUGGAAGGAACGCCGGAGGCGAAAGCGGCGCACUGGAUCUCUUCUGACGCUGAGGCGCGAAAGCUAGGGGAGCAAACGGGAUUAGAUACCCCGGUAGUCCUAGCCCUAAACGAUGAGUACUAGAUUGUAGACUUAUCAUGGGUUUACAGUCGAAGCAAAAGUGUUAAGUACUCCGCCUGGGGAGUAUGGUCGCAAGGCUGAAACUCAAAGGAAUUGAC
rnacentral:rRNA from 1 species